CAGGGCCGUAACUAGCCCCUUUUAAUACUGAGGCAAAAUCUUUCGCCGAGCGUAGCGAGGCGAAAAAUUUUGACGAGGGGUCUGGGGGCCGCUUAAGGCCCCCAGAAGCUCUGAGAAAAAUAACGCAAAAUCGUGCAUUCUGAGCGUUUCCCAGACUCUUUCUUACAUAGAAACGCAAAUCAUUUUUAGCUAUUUUUCGACUGUAUUCUGGUCUCAAAGCAAAAACAUAGAUUCAUUUUUAUUUAAGACUUUAAAGUUUUAGGGAAAUUCAAAACAUUAAAAGACCGAUAUGUAGGAUAAAGCAAAAAAUCGUAAUUCUCAUAAUCAUUAAUACCGGAUCUGUCUGUCUUUUUUUGUCUUGUAUUGUGCUGACUUGAGAUUUUUUAUGACUAGAUUUAAAUAUAGUGACAGUCAUUAGUGCAGUAAUAUACGUUAAAUACUAGUACUGCUCAAGUCGACACUAGGGACCAUAUUAACCUUGUUUUACGGUAUUUAUGAUUCUUUCAUUAUUGAAGACCCUCCAGCAACUAUCAAGAUGAAGAACAGGAAUAACUUGAAAACUUUGACCAUUGAUCAUUUGUAUUUUUUUCUAUACAUUGACAUUGUGUGCGAUUAGCUCCCGUGCACGUGUACUUCAUAUUCCUUUAUUUUCUGUUAAAGGGUCUGAACACGACUUAAUGCAAAUUUAACCCUUGAAUGUACAAGGUCAUAUGGCAAUACAUUGAUGUUUUUUUCAACAAAUGAUUUGAUACCGGGAAAUUAGUGGUCUUACUUUAAUUUAAACCAUUUCAGCUAUCUAGUUUUAUCCACAG
rnacentral:lncRNA from 1 species